rnacentral:rRNA from 1 species
UACGAAGGGUGCAAACGUUGCUCGGAAUCAUUGGGCGUAAAGAGCGCGCAGGCGGUCGUUCAAGUCGCGUGUGAAAGCCCCCCGGCUCAACUGGGGAGGGUCACGCGAUACUGAUCGACUCGAAGGCAGGAGAGGGUAGUGGAAUUCCCGGUGUAGUGGUGAAAUGCGUAGAUAUCGGGAGGAACACCAGUGGCGAAGGCGACUUUCUGGCCUGUUCUUGACGCUGAGGCGCGAAAGCUAGGGGAGCAAACGGGG